UACUGAUGCCUAAGAUUUUUAGCUUUUUAUGUUUUUUACAUAUUUGUAGCUUUGUAGAUUACUAAGCAUGGCUGUAGCUUCUACUAGUUCUCCUUUCUUUACUACAUUUAGGAAUAAUAAGCUAACCUUAUAAACACAUUCCUAAAAAUGGUUUAGUCUUAUUCCAAGAAGAGAACCAGCUACAAUGACAUUCUGUUUUCCAACCAGAACCUGGAGCAGACAUAACAGAAGUGGGGCAAAAGAAACCUCUAGACUGCUUCCAGUGGGUCAGUGUGGGGUCUGUAGCUCAGACCCAGGAAGCCCUGACCGGUCCGGAGAGAUGGUCCUGUAAGGAACCGUCUCCCAGGGCCCGUGCAGCUUUCCCUCGGCCACUGGAGUGCCUUUGCAGAGAGGUGCCUGUUUCAGCAAGCUAACAGCUUUUGAGUGAUUUUCAGCUAGUGAUUUCAGCUCUUGCUCUGUGAGGCAAUCUCCAGGCCAGACCAGGAAAGAGAGACGAGAGGCCCGUGUGGCAUUCCUGCAUAGGUGGCUUUAUUGUCCUGCACCCGCGAAGGGUGACCAGUGAGAGGCUCGCUCUCCCGACUGAGCUAGCCAGGCUUCUUUUAUGGGGAUACAGAGGUGGGUGUGAGAGGGUAAAAGCCAAUGGGUUACAAAGGAUCUACAUAGGGUCUCCCAGAGGAUCGUGGUUCUGUGUCGUCUCUCGCCAUAACCGAAAGUGCUGCCUUUUCCAAGGGGAUUCUGCUGGGAGGUUGUACAAUCUCUUUAUCAGCAGGCCUCCCUCCAGGGCAGGGGCUGGGCAUACCCCACAGCUCAGGACCCCAGGAAUUAUUACCUAACCAACUAACCUUUUAAUUGGACAGUAUAUGAUAAGUAUACUAACUGAUUAACCUUAAAAAAAUUACAAUUACUGUACCAUGUGUGAUUUUUGUUGUGUACCUGAAGGCUUUCAACUAAAGGCUUGCUUUUAUAUUCACUCCAGUUGGAAAGAUCUAUGCUGUUUUCCAGGCAUCAAUACUGAAGAGGAGAGAGCAGCUGGAGGAGCAAACAUCAUGCUACAAACACACCAGGUACCACAGACUCGUCCCUUGAAAGGCCCUGUGGUUGCUCAUUCCCGUGGGCUCUGCUCCACAGGCAGGGAGGAGCAGGAUCCAGGCUGUGCUGCCUCCCCACAGUCAAGGACGUGCUGUACCAGCAUCCCUCAUCACAGCGUUGCCUGGGCAACAUCUCUCCUGCCUCUGCACGGAGCUCUGGCUGUGUCACUCCAAGGAAAUACUUUCUCCAAACAAAACUGCAGUGGGUUUAGUCUGUGCAAGAUGGAGAACCUGGCUAGAGCCUUGCAGCCGAUUCCAGCUUAGGGUUUGCUAAGGUAGAGCUGCCAUCAACAUCAGCUUUGCAGGCAGAUUAAUUCUGCUUGUUCAGCUGUGGUGGUUCCAGCACCAGCUCCUCCUGUGACUACUCUCAGAGCUCACACACAACCUUGAGAGCUGCUCCAGCCUGGCCACGGGGUCCCCAGCACCUCACCUUUGCAGCUUUGCCAUGGCACCUGCAACAACCUCGGUGCCAGCAGGUUGCUGAAGGGUGGCUCAUGACCCAAAAUCUCUGAAGUGCCUUUUUGCCCCCCUCAAAGAAAUUGUAUUUACUGGACAAGAACAAUGACCAGGCUUGGGAUGAGUUCAUCUGCAAGGUUCUGGGACGUGAUUAAGAAAAACUCUAUGCAUCCUCCAUUCUUACAUUGCUGCAGAGCAUGGAAGUAACUGGUGCAGAUGUGAGGCAGUCCCUGACUCCUCUCACACAAGAAAUAACCCCAUGGUGGGAGCUCUGGACAAGCAGAUGUUUGUCCCUCCCCUCGUGGACAUCUGCAGCUUCCUGAAAUGCACCCUGCCUCACACCACUGCCUCUUCUCUGCCACAGGGUGCUCAGUAAACCAGAAACCCCUUUCGGGGCAGCUGUCUUGUCCUUUGCCAAUGUUCUCUUUUUCCUUGGCUUGGGGACAAGUGAGCAGCAAGGCGCACAGGCAGCGUCCUUGGUCUGCAGAGAGGAUUCCUCUUAAUGGAAACGCAGUUGGUUUAUUCUGUAUUUAAUUAAUCUUCCCUGUAACUAACCAAGAGGAGUUACACAGAGAAAUGGGGAAGCGGGAAAGAAAUAAUUUCUGUGAAAAUGCACCUGGUGCAGAGCAAAGGCCAGGAAAUUGAUCCUCUCUUAGCCUGCCCGCUUUUUAAAAUAAUUCCUAAAAUGCAGCAGUACCUGUCCAUCUGGCCAGAACUGCCUGUGACCAUUUCCUCUUCCCCCAUUCGGAACAACAACAACAAAAAAAGUAAAAACCCCAACUACCACAGCAAAGCCUUUCCCUGCUCCAGCUCCCCAGGAGGCUGAGCUGCCCCAAGCUUCUUAUCUAAAUCUUUGCUUGAGCUCGAUUCUUUAGCUGGGAACUGAAGAAACCCCGAUGCCACCUCCCACGGGGUGUCAAUGGGGGCUGUGGCCAGGGCUCGCAUGAAUGAUUCAGGAGCAGCAAAGCGCUGGGUUGCCUUUCAGCUGAGGCUCUGAUCAAACACGGGAGUUGGGUUACCAGGUGUCUCAAGUGCCUUGGGGGAGAGAGGGGGAAAGCUGGAGAUCCACCGGGAUGAGCAGAAAAGUAAUAAAAUGAGAGUGGUGGUACCAAAUCAGUCAGUCAGUCCCCUCCUCGUGUUUCAUCUUCCUCGUCUAUAACUCCCUGAGCUCAGGGAGUUACUACACUGGCCCAGCAAACGUCAUCACCGUCUCCCUGCUUAAUUCCUGCAGGAUUCCAGACACAGCAGAGCGCUCUGUGUCCUGGGGUUUUUUUUGUUUUUUUUUUUUUGGUGUUCUCGAACUGAUCCUCUGAAGCCUCCCUGCGGCUGAGCAGGAGCAGUGGCACUGGGAGAAGUGGGGUAAGUGGGGCCACGAGGUUUGGCGGCAGCAGCAGCACCCGGGGAAGCAUCACCCGACAUGCGAGUCGAGGGCAGAAAGGGAAAAGGAUCGGCUCACGGGCAGCCCCCCCCCGCGCCCCGUGCAUCUCCCCAGCGCUGCUCACCCGCUGCCAGCUGCAUCCAGGCACAGACUUUGUAGACGGUGGCUGCGUUGCAGAAGAAGAAGAGGCUGAAGCAGAGGAUGGUGCCGAUGAUGAGGAAGGUUGAGAUGCCUACGAAGAACAUGGCAGUUUUGAAGGCACUGGAGGGGAUGGUGCCGAAGUCCAGGGGGCUGCCCUUGCAGAUGAGCUCACCGGUGAGCGCGUUGCCGAUGCAGUAGGAGAAGAGGCCGAAGUAGCCGGCCUGCGGCGUGUCGAUGCUGUCGCCGAUCCAGUAGGGCUGGAUGAAGGUCACCACCAUCAGGAUGGAGAAGCAGAGCGUGAAGAGGGCCCAGA